UCGGGAAUUUUGGGCAAUGGGGGAAACCCUGACCCAGCAACGCCGCGUGAAGGAUGAAGUAUUUCGGUAUGUAAACUUCGAAAGAAUAGGAAGAAUAAAUGACGGUACUAUUUAUAAGGUCCGGCUAACUACGUGCCAGCAGCCGCGGUAAUACGUAGGGACCAAGCGUUGUUCGGAUUUACUGGGCGUAAAGGGCGCGUAGGCGGCAUGACAAGUCACUUGUGAAAUCUCUGGGCUUAACCCAGAACGGCCAAGUGAUACUGUCGCGCUAGAGUGCAGAAGGGGCAAUCGGAAUUCUUGGUGUAGCGGUGAAAUGCGUAGAUAUCAAGAGGAACACCUGAGGUGAAGACGGGUUGCUGGGCUGACACUGACGCUGAGGCGCGAAAGCCAGGGGGAGCAAACGGGAUUAGAUACCCCGGUAGUCCCUGAGCGGGCUGGCAAGGCGCAU
rnacentral:rRNA from 1 species